rnacentral:rRNA from 1 species
UACGUAGGUGGCAAGCGUUGUCCGGAUUUACUGGGCGUAAAGAGCGCGCAGGCGGUCGUUCAAGUCGCGUGUGAAAGCCCCCGGCUCAACUGGGGAGGGUCACGCGAUACUGAUCGACUCGAAGGCAGGAGAGGGAAGUGGAAUUCCCGGUGUAGUGGUGAAAUGCGUAGAUAUCGGGAGGAACACCGGUGGCGAAGGCGGAUCUCUGGGCCUUGCCUGACGCUGAGGCGCGAAAGCUAGGGGAGCGAACAGG